CUGAGCACUGUAGGUCUCUUACCAAUCUUUUUUUUUUUCUUUGAUGAUCAAUGCAAAAUUGACAUUAGGCCCUCUGAAAUGCUCCAUACUGACAGCACAUUUCCCAUCAGCAGUAUCUGUAAGCUCCUGUUGCACCGGGUAAUGGCCAAGAACUUCUACAGUGGAAGAUCAGGCAUGUAGAACUCUUGCCUACAUGAAACCAGUUAUGCCAGCUGAAUUCAAAACUUUGCUACUACCAAGGAUUACUGAAGUCACAUGGAACUGCUAUAGACACCUUCUGGAUGAUGCUUUCACAAUAAUUCUAGCUUACCUGGCUUGGAGUUUUCUCUGCAUGGAUGUCAUACUUACUCAGCCUUAACUGAUUCAAACAAAGUUCUUCUACACAUGAAUCUGCACCGUCAGUGGGGAAGUACUCAAAGUAAGGCUGGUGAAGCCAGUCAUAGGUUCUGACGCCACAAAAAGCUAAAUUCAGCAAGCUCACAACGUACCACCCCUAACCUAGUCUGAAUUUGUAGCAGAAAUACUCCAUUAGUCACCAUUCCAGCAUGAUACAGUCUCUGCUACCUGGCACUGUAGUAUGAGUGGGACUAGAAAUGUUCAGAAUCCUUUACCAUCAUCUGAAAGUAGGAAAGCCUUAUCUGCUAAGAUUGGGGGGGGGAGUUGGGUUUGGGAUAUUUUGUGUGGUUUUCUUUUUCUGUCUAACACUGCACUCCUUAAAAUGUUGAACACCAGCUUUACUUUGCCAUAAAGUUCAUAAUACUUCACUGAAAGUGUGGGUCUGCCAAGGGCAUCCAUGUAUGUAUGUAGAACCUAAAUGUUGAGAAGUACACUUGUGCUGUCUGAAUGGAAGUUCAUGUAGAAUUCUUCUAAUUUGAAUUAUUUUUUAAUUUGUUAGUCUUUGAUGUAACUUUGUUUCAGGUGAUUUAUGAAUUUGCCAAAGCAUAGACAGCAUGAAAGUUACUAAUUAGCACCAUUAUUGUCAGUACAUGUCUCAGCUAUCGCUUCUCAACUUUCACUGCCUCUUUAACCCCCAAAAGGGAAUAUUUAAAACAAAUAUAUGUUUUAAAAUAAAAUACUUCUGGGUACUUAUCAAAUUAAUUUUGCCUUGCUAAACUUUUCACAAGAACGAAAGAAGAAUUGUUGUGCUUUUAUGAAUUUCACAGUGUUUGCAGUUCAAUAGGCAGGUAGUGCAACUUUUGGAAUGCUUUCUGCAGAUGUCUGCAGGAUGGAUAACACUCCCUGACAAGAGAUUUAGCAAUUUUUAACACUGUGUUACAAUUGUACUUUGAUAAUACCUUAAAUUUAAUUCUACCUCUUUUUUUCAGUGAACACAUACCUCGGCUAAUCUCACUUUAUCACGCUAGCCUGUUAUUUGAUCAUACUGCCAACUAAAUCUUUAACUGAGGGAACAGAAUAAUUUUCCUUUUUAUUCAAUUAUUCUCAAACUCAGGAAAACAAAAAAUCAGUUUUGGCUGGAAUAUUACUUGUUUGGUUUCCACCCAAAAGAAAUGUUUAACAUAUUUGGUUUAACAUGUUCGAUCAGAAAUUUACUUCAGAAUGUGAGCAUGAGAAAAUGGACAAAUUUCUCAUGAAUAAAAAAAGGCACUGGUAUUAUUUUGAACAUCUGUAAUGGAGAGAGGUUAGAAACUGAAACUGAGUGAAAAACAGCUUCAAUUUUCUUGAGUUACAGAUUGUUAGAAACAGAACCCUGCACUUGGUCAAAGCAAAUUUUUCUUCACUAACAUGGCAUGCUGUGAUGCUUCAUGGUUAAUAUGCCUAAGACCCAGAGGCUGGGGAAGCACUUCUGUCAGAUGUAUCUGAAAAAGCACAAAGAAAAAAAACCAAAACUUUGUAAAAUGGAAAAUAACUCUCAACAAAAAUUAUUUGCCCUUUGCUGAAAAUGUUCAUUGAAAUGAACCAAAUCCAAGUGUGCAAUAAUUUUGAACCUUAAAAAAAGAGCUUUAAAAAAACCUUAAAAGACCUUAAAAAUAAAAGUGAUUUGAUUUUGGUUUUAGGUUUUUUUUACAGGAGUUGAGGAAGUAAUAUUGUUACCUACAAUCAAUUCCUUCUGUUUGCCAAAGGUGUACAGAGUGGAAUUGCGCAGCAAUACUGGAUUCUGUUUAGGAACUCAGUGAUACAGGAGCAGAUCCGAGGUGUGCUACACACAGGCUUCCCUCUGACAGCCAAGGCAUAAAAGCCACCAGAGUAGGCAAUUAUGCAUCAACCCAAUACAACUACUCCAGACUCAGGUAACUAUAAGUAAUGACCAAGGAUGUGCUUCUAAAAUCAGAUGUAGAUUGUAUCAUACUUAUUUUUAUUAUAUUUUUUUAAUGUUUGACUUGCAACAAAGUACACAGGGAAAAAACCUGGUAUAACACGUAGCUCCACAUAAGUAAAAAAAAAAAAUAUUCAAAAGAAGGUGGAAUUGGUCAGGAAAACAGAGAAAAAUCAAUGAAAAUUUUGAUCAAGCUAUGUGAACUGGGUAACAGAAUUGUUUUGCUACCUGAUAUUUUAAUGAGUCACCUCCAAAGUAACAUUGUGUUGAUGUGAAAACAAUGUUUCAAGCAUGUUCCAUUGCUGUAACUUGAAGUCGCUAGUUUGUACAAAGACAUUGCUAACAGUAUGCAAAAUGGCUUAGAUGUAUAUAGGACAUAAAUAUGGGAAGCAGAUGGAAGAACACAAAAAAACCAUAUUUAAGAGAAAUAAUAAUUUUUGGAGGAGUUAACUUUCUGCAUCAUGGUGUGUGUUGAAGUCAGGCUGCACUCAGAUAAAAUAAAUGAACAAGGUUUUGCAUGGAGAAGAAUAUAACAAAAUGCCAACAGAUUGCUAUGGAGAGUUUGGCAGGAGAUAAGAGAUGAUUUUCGCAAUAAAAGAACAUUAAACUUACUAAUAGCUCUCUGAAGCUUAAAACUUGCAACUACUAAAACUUGCAACUAUUUGAAACCAACCAGAGACUGAUGAACAGGAGAAAACCAGGAUUCCCAUGAAUUUCAGUGUAACAUAGUGUUCAAUCAUGGAAUAGUCUGGGUCGGAAGGAACUUUUACAGGACUUCUAGUCCAGUGAUCAGGAACAUAUUCAGCUAGAUCAGGCUGCUCAGAGGCCUUACCUUAAAAGCUUUAAAAUUUUGAUUCAUUAUGUUCAUUACAUAUUACAUUACUUUUCCCCCUAGCUUCUGGCCUCUGUAAAAGUAUGGAAAGUAACUCCUUUUCCUGCAUUU